rnacentral:rRNA from 1 species
AGUGAACGCUGGCGGUAGGCCUAACACAUGCAAGUCGAACGGCAGCACAGUAAGAGCUUGCUCUUACGGGUGGCGAGUGGCGGACGGGUGGGGAAUACAUCGGAAUCUACUUUUUCGUGGGGGAUAAAGUAGGGAAACUUACGCUAAUACCGCAUUGGACCUACGGGUGAAAGCAGGGGAUCUUCGGACCUUGCGCGAUUGAAUGACCCGAUGUCGGAUUAGCUAGUUGGCGGGUUAACGGCCCACCAAGGCGUCGAUCCGUAGCUGGUCUGAGAGGCUGAUCAGCCACACUGGGACUGAGACACGGUCCUGGCUCCUACGGGAGGCAGCAGUGGGGAAUAGUGGACAAUGGGGGCAAUCCUGAUCCAGCCAUACCGCGUGGGUGAAGAGGGCCUUCGGGUUGUAAAGCCCUUUUGUUGUGAAAGAAAAGCAGCAGGUUAAUACCCCGCUGUUCUGACGGUACCCAAAGAAUAAGCACCGGCUAACUUCGUG